rnacentral:lncRNA from 1 species
CUGCAUUCUGUUUCUGAAAGGUGUAUAAAGCUUUGCCAGACCUUGGAGAAGUUAAGCUGAUUUGUAUUCUUUAUUUAGAGGCUUUUGACUAAAGACAAGAAUCCGGGUUGUUCAAGCUAAGUCGGAUGGGCCUCCUCAGAGGCAAGUCAGUCUCAGGGCAGGAAAAGUCAAAUACUUACAAACCUUCAAAGGAAAAUAGAUGACACCUCUUCCACCGACUCCCUCCUAGCUGGGCAUUAUAGCAACUAGUCUCAGCUGUAUCUACUUUUAAUUACCUAUGUGACUUUAGGCAAAUAAAUUUUGCUAAGAUGUCAAUUUCCCUAUGUAAGAUACAUAAGUUGGAUGAAAUGCCUAAUUAUAAAGUUGUCACUGCCUACAAGUGUCUGAGAACAUGGUUUCAUACACGUCAGGUGCUUUCAUGCUUGGGUUAUAUAAUUUAGCUACAUCCUUACAUCUUUUCAUGGUUGAGGGGCUGACUCUGGGGUGAGAAAGUGGCAGCCGCCUCUGGAGUGAGGCAGAAUCUAGCUACUUCAUGCUGUGAGGGCUCAGGGCCCAGCAGAGCAGAACAAAGGGCACCAUCCUUUCCCUUCUGAAAGGAUAGCAGGAAUUAAUGAGCUGGUAUCUAAUUACUGAAUGUGAGCCAUGGCAGGGACACAAGAGUGGAGAACAUCAUGAAUUUCACGGUGUGGCCAGGACCCCUGCUUUCCAUCUCAUUAGCAGGAGACCAGCCAGGCAGGGCUCUGGGUUCCUUCCCAUGGAGCCAGGGUGAAGCAUCAGGGAUGGCUCACAUGGGGUCUGGAAACCCGCUGCAUUCUCAAUUGCAUUCUCCUGCAACCUCAAUCUUCAAAGGUCACCAGGUCAAGGUGAGCGCUGGCUAAACCCUGUUUGCCUUACAAGGAGGGUGAGCUCACAGUUGGAAAUCCUGGGCUGGCUGGUCAGGCUAGAGCAGCAGAGAUGCCUUCAGACCAUAUGCUGUGGACAGGUGGUGGCUCUCUGGGUGUGCUACAGGCUUUUGACUCCCAGAGAAACUGGCUGAAACUGGGCUCAACUUGAACAGACAUUAUCAUUAGGGAGAGCCAGCUAAAGUGAGAAGAAACACAACCUAUUAAGACUAACUCUUGCCAGGCCAUCAGCUUCCAAAAAAAAAGGUCCUCAUCAACUUAUAGUGGAGCAAAACUUGCUUGGAAACAUACCUGGGAUAUGCUGAAGAGAGAACAACAAUGGAGACUAUUUU